UGAUGGUGCAUUGUAGUUGCAUUGCAUUUGUUAUAAAUUAUGCAAUGCAUCUGCAGUGCAAACAUUA
rfam:Lottia gigantea unplaced genomic scaffold LOTGIsca_111, whole genome shotgun sequence.